AUGAAGUCGGAAUUGCUAGUAAUCGCGGAUCAGCAUGCCGCGGUGAAUACGUUCCCGGGCCUUGUACACACCGCCCGUCACACCAUGAGAGCCGGUAACACCCGAAGUCAGGAGCCUAACCGCAAGGGGGGCACUGCUGAAGGUGGGAUUGGUGAUUAGGGUGAAGUCGUAACAAGGUACC
rnacentral:rRNA from 1 species